CGAGAGUGACGGCUCGAGCAGGUACGAAAGUAGGUCUUAGUGAUCCGGUGGUUCUGAAUGGAAGGGCCAUCGCUCAACGGAUAAAAGGUACUCCGGGGAUAACAGGCUGAUACCGCCCAAGAGUUCAUAUCGACGGCGGUGUUUGGCACCUCGAUGUCGGCUCAUCACAUCCUGGGGCUGAAGUAGGUCCCAAGGGUAUGGCUGUUCGCCAUUUAAAGUGGUACGCGAGCUGGGUUUAGAACGUCGUGAGACAGUUCGGUCCCUAUCUGCCGUGGGCGUUGGAAGAUUGAGAGGGGUUGCUCCUAGUACGAGAGGACCGGAGUGAACGCACCACUGGUGUUCGGGUUGUCAUGCCAAUGGCAUUGCCCGGUAGCUAAGUGCGGAAAAGAUAAGCGCUGAAAGCAUCUAAGCGCG
rnacentral:rRNA from 1 species